AUACGUAGGGGGCGAGCGUUGUCCGGAAUGAUUGGGCGUAAAGGGCGCGUAGGCGGCUUUGCAAGUCAGUAGUGGAAGUCCAUUUUUCAAGGAUGGAAGUGCUACAGAAACUGCGGAGCUUGAGUGCAGGAGAGGUUAUCGGAAUUCCCGGUGUAGCGGUGAAAUGCGUAGAGAUCGGGAGGAACACCAGUGGCGAAGGCGGGUAACUGGACUGCAACUGACGCUGGGUCGCGAAAGUAUGGGGAGCAAACAGGAUUAGAUGCCCUGGUAGUCCACACUGUAAACGAGGAAUGCUAGGUGUAGGAGGUAUCGACCCCUUCUGUGCCGCAGUAAACACAGUAAGCAUUCCGCCUGGGGAGUACGGUCGCAAGAUUAAAGCUCAAAUGAAUGGACUGGG
rnacentral:rRNA from 1 species